CCAUUUGAGUAAAAACUACAGAGUAGAGAAUUGUGCAUAGCCAGAUUGGGAGUAGUCUAAGUAUGCAUUUCACUUCUUCUACUUGUGUCACUGUGCAAAGGCGCCAUGGAUUUUGAGCCCCCUUACCCAUUUGGUUCAUCUCCUUUGGUGUGAUGAUUGCAGCUUUAUCCAAGAAUCUGUCGAAGGAUUAACAUGGAUCAGUUUAGGAUUUAUCAUUGGUCAACUACUAAUCUAUUUGGAGUACUUUCGGUAGUGCACUAAGCAUGUUUAGCAGUAUUUGGUUGAAAUAAGAAACCAUAGUUUUUUUUUUUCUCCGCCUAGAAAAGCAGUUUUAGUACUUUCUAGUGAAACACCUGAUACCUGUUUCUCCGAAGCUCCGAAGGAGCGACAGUUGCUCGUGAUAUAGAAAUCAGCAAGCAUUCCGUUGGAGCUUUUAAAAUCUCUAAUACUGAAAGAAUCUCGUUAAGACAAUGCUGCCAUAAGAGAUUCUUGUGACUAUUGAUAUUAUCUAUUAAGAUCUCAAAAACAUAUAUAUAACUUACUUGAAUCCGUGGGUGUGAACUAUUUUCCUACUCUCGUUUUGAGAGUAUUUAUUCUGAUCCUCUCCCUCGUACAAAUCUUCCCCACUUGGUGUCAUCUCAUCCUUCCAUUUUCUUGUUGCAGCUACGACCACCCGACAAAACCUAGAGAGAGGGUUUCCCUGAGGCUUGAAAUGCCUGUACAUUGGAGUGCCACAUAGAAACAAGACCAAAGCCAUUGCAGCAGAACCAGUGGAUACCCAAAACCCUAGAGUCCAUAUUCCCUUAUCCUCAAAAUAUCCCAAGAUUGUGUUUGAAAAGAGAGAGCCAAGAUUCAACGCCAAGUAGAAGAAGCUAAAGAAGGAUAUCUUUGAGUGCCCUUCGUUCGGGUCCUCCUCGUCAAACUGGUCUGCCCCAAAUGUAGCUAUGGUAGGUUGGUAACCACCAUUUCCAAGUGCAAUAAGG
rnacentral:lncRNA from 1 species